rnacentral:rRNA from 1 species
CAGCGUCGCGAGUGGCAAUCAUGUUUAUUGGGCCUAAAGCGUCCGUAGCCGGUUUAAUAAAUUCUUCGUGAAACCGUUGUGCUCAACAUAACGAUGUGCGAAGGAGACUGUUAAGCUUGGGACAGGAGAGGAGUUAGAGGUAUUCUUGGGGGAGCGGUAAAAUGCUAUAAUCCCUGGAAGACCAUCUGUGGCGAAAGCGUCUAACUAGAACUGAUCCGACGGUGAGGGACGAAAGCUAGGGGAGCAAAACGGAUUAGAUACCCGAGUAGUCC